AUGCAUCAAUAGCUAGUUCAUUCUGACCACAACGAACAAAUGUGCAAAUUAACAGACGGUACGUGACUGUUGUUCCAACUUGACCAUCAUACUGCAAAAUUUUCCAAAUCUUCUGUGCCUGAUCCCAGUUGUUUGCUUUUGCAAAGAUGGAUAUCAUUGUGUUGUAUACAAUAAUAUCAAUUUGUUCUCUAAGAUUUCUACUGCUUAUCAAUUCACGGAACAUGUUUAUUGCUCUGUCAUAACCCCGAGCAUCAGCAACUGCCUUCAGAAUUAAGCUAUAAGUGUGGCCGGUUGUCAGCCCACUAG
rnacentral:misc_RNA from 1 species